GGUGGUGUGUUCUGUGGCUCUAGGCUCAGUCCGGGCGGGGCUUGGUUCUCCUGCUUAGCUCAGCUGCCUUCCACGUUAUGUUUGGAAGCUGGGGUUGGAAGAGGUAAAGCCACCUCGCCGAGGUCAGCCAUGGCAAGGUAGACCCAGGACGCAGAGCCUGCAGUCCGGGGUCGCGUAGCCUCUUUUGCAGAGACCCACAGUUAGUGCCGAACACUCAGCCCAACUUCUGGGAGCGGGUCUCAGUCUUCCUGAGAAUUGGUCUACGCCGGCGCCCUCUGCCACCUUGUCCCCGAUUCCGGAGCUGGAGAUUGGGCCGCUCUUCGGUGCAUGGGGAGGGUGACCCAUCCAGGCACCCAGGGUCCUCCCUUUCCAGGGGAGAGCAGGGUAAUGGCCAUAGGGCCUCCGAGGACCAACGGCCCUGAAACGCCUUCCCGUCAUGGCUGCCUCACAAUAGGCCCAUUGCGUCCUCUUAGCCUGGAGGCAGCCCUGCUGGGCUUGGGCGAAGACAGCCUGGAGGGGUCACCUGUCUUCUCUGGCGCCUCUCAGGACCACCUGCUCUAAUCCCCACGUGAUACACCCCGCAGCGAGCUGCAACCAGCCCACUCAAGGACAGGUUAAAUGAAGGCCAGGGGACAUUAGAUGAAAGUCGGGGGACAUCAUAAGGAAGGGGCUGCCAGGGAAGGACCUGACCUCAGGAGGCAUCUCUCUGCCACUGAAGGUGACUGCUGGAGCUGAUAGCCAAGGGCUGUGCCGUGAACAACCUCCUUGCAGACAACACCAGUGGGAAUUGAGCAGGAGUCCCUGGAGCCCCAGAAGAAUGAAGCAGAUCAGAACAGCAUUGCAAGACUGAAGCUAUACUGUCAAGCUCACAAAAAAUAGUGUUCUUCUGAGAAAACAGAGAAAUCCAAAUCCAGGGAAACUCUACAAAAUACCUCAUCGGUACUCUUCAGACAUAUCAAUGCUACACAAGGCAUUAAGACAGAAAUUGUCAGUUUGGAGGCGACUAAGGGCACAUGACAACUAAAUGCAACAUGGGAUUCUGUAUUGAUACCAGAACAGAAA